rnacentral:rRNA from 1 species
UACGAAGGGGGCUAGCGUUGCUCGGAAUUACUGGGCGUAAAGGGCGCGUAGGCGGAUGUUUAAGUCGGGGGUGAAAGCCCGGGGCUCAACCUCGGAAUUGCCUUCGAUACUGGAUAUCUUGAGUUCGGGAGAGGUGAGUGGAAUGCCGAGUGUAGAGGUGAAAUUCGUAGAUAUUCGGAAGAACACCAGUGGCGAAGGCGACUGACUGGACAAGUAUUGACGCUGAGGUGCGAAAGCGUGGGGAGCAAACAGG